rnacentral:rRNA from 1 species
GAUGAACGCUGGCGGCGUGCCUAAUACAUGCAAGUCGAGCGAACAGACGAGGAGCUUGCUCCUCUGACGUUAGCGGCGGACGGGUGAGUAACACGUGGAUAACCUACCUAUAAGACUGGGAUAACUUCGGGAGACCGGAGCUAAUACCGGAUAAUAUAUUGAACCGCAUGGUUCAAUAGUGAAAGACGGUUUUGCUGUCACUUAUAGAUGGAUCCGCGCCGCAUUAGCUAGUUGGUAAGGUAACGGCUUACCAAGGCAACGAUGCGUAGCCGACCUGAGAGGGUGAUCGGCCACACUGGAACUGAGACACGGUCCAGACUCCUACGGGAGGCAGCAGUAGGGAAUUUUCCGCAAUGGGCGAAAGCCUGACGGAGCAACGCCGCGUGAGUGAUGAAGGUCUUCGGAUCGUAAAACUCUGUUAUUAGGGAAGAACAAAUGUGUAAGUAACUAUGCACGUCUUGACGGUACCUAAUCAGAAAGCCACGGCUAACUACGUG